GCAACUAGAAAAGAAAAACAUGGAUAUGCAAAAGAAAACAGGAAAAAUCGUCAAAUACAGAAUUGAGUACCAUAAGAAUAAUUAGUUUACAGAGCUAUAAUAGAGUGAAAUUAUAACUGGACAGAAUAUUUUCUUUCUUAAAGUCCAAAGUCAAGACAGAGACAAAAAGGACAAAAUGAUAAUUCAUUUUUCAAAAUAACCUCUUUACGGAAAGGGAAGCAGUUUUCAUAAUUAAGACCUAAAGAGUAAUAAGAAUUUUAAUCAGGACAGAGCAGAAAUGGAACCUGGUAAUAUCCAGAACACCUGGAUCCAGAUUGGCCCUUAUUCUUGUAAUUAUGAAGACCCAUCCUCUAGCACCUUAAUUUUCAAUUGUCCAAAUAAGGAUGACACUUGUUCUGUGUGACAGUCAUAAUAAAUGAGUUAUCUGUUCUGUAAA